AUGGUCGCCGUCUCCGUCGGGAUGGCUAGCUGCAGCGGCAGCCUCCUCAUCCCGAUUCUCUUUGUCAGGAUGGCCUCGAAGUCCGCGCUCGUGGGCAACAGGUGCGUCGCGGGCUCGCAGUCGCCGUGCGGUGCCGGGAUGCGCUGCGCCUCCUGCUCCCCGCUCGCCGGGGCCCCUGCUCCGCCACCUCGUUCAUCGUCGUCGGCACGGCCUCGGGGUCCGCACUGGUGGGCGAUAGGUGCGCCGCAGGUGCGGCGUCGGGAUACGCUGCGCCUGCUGCUGGUGCGCCGUGGGAUCGCAGUCGCCGUGCGGUGCCGGGAUGCUUUAUUAUUUAUUACUAAAACAGGGACUGCGGGCCAAAUAUGUGAAAGACAUCGUAAUGGUGAAAUAGUGAUAAAUCAGUUGAUUGAAAACAUUGUUAAGAGUGGCAUGUAUGAUGAUGACUUUGUGCGUAGAAUGGCUGUGAAGCGUGACAAGUAUGACAUAAAUUACGGCCGUGGUCAUGAGAAGGUUCAGAAGGAGAUUCUGGUCAAGCAUCACGUGCUGGAGGCAGCCGUGAUACUCGACAUGUUUGGCCUCAUCAGCGCGUAUGCCGUCGGGAGUUGCCGGGACGUGAGCACCUCCAUUUACGCCAUGGCGCUAGGAGGCGCCGUCCUGGUCUAUGUGGUGAUCCGUGUUGUCUUCUUCACGCUGGACCACAAGGAUAACAAAGACACAGUCCAGGAACACCAGUUGCUAGAGAAGAGGCGCAAACGCAAUGCGCUAGCUGUUUGUACGGCGGUGGGCUUGCUUUGUUUGAUGGGGGCCUACGCCGCAGGAAGUACGCAGCACCUCAAGACAUCCAUCUACAUCUUCGCAUUGGUGGUCGUGGUCCUCUUAGUUGUAGUCGUACUGCUGCUAGUAUUUUUACUGAAGGGGCCGGACAAAAAUGGCAACGAUUCGGCACCUAAAGAACAGGACGAAGAAGGGAAGGAGGAUGGCAACAAUUCACCAACCAAAGAACAUGACGAAGAAGAAGGGGAGAAGGUAGGAGAAAAGAUGGGGGAUGAAGAAAGCAAGAAGCCAGCGAAGCGAAAGUACCUGAUGCUGCUAGGCAUCUUGGUGGCAAGCGUAGCCUACCAGGCCGGCCUGGAACCGCCUGGCGGAGCAUGGCAGAGCAGUAGCAAUGGGUACGAGGCGGGCAACCCGGUGAUGCACGACAACAGGAGGCCCCGGUAUCUUGCCUUCUUCUACAACAACUCCACCUCCUUCAUGGCUUCCAUCGUCCUCAUGAUCAUGCUGCUACCUCAAUGGCUGCCAAAGAAGGAGGAAGGAGAAUAG
rnacentral:rRNA from 1 species